UGCUUCGGGUCAUGGUGAUUCAUAAUAACUUAACGAAUCGCAUGGCUUGUGGCCGGCGAUGGUUCAUUCAAAUUUCUGCCCUAUCAACUUUCGAUGGUUAGGUCUUGGCAACCAUGGUUUCGACGGGUAACGGGGAAUUAGGGUUCUAUUCCGGAGAGGGAGCCUGAGAAACGGUACCACAUCCAAGGAAGGCAGCAGGCGCGCAAAUUACCAAUCCUGAUACAGGGAGGUAGUGACAAUAAAUACUGAUACAGGGCUCUUUUGGGCCUUGUAAUUUGGAAUGAGUACAAUUUAAAUCCGGUUAACGAGGAACAAUUGGAGGGCAAAGUCUGGUGCCAGCCAGCCGGGUAAUUCCAGCUCCAAUUAGCGUAUAUUAAAGUUGUUGCAGUUAAAAAGCUCGUAGUUUGAAACUUCAGAACUGGACCGGGCGGGUCCGCCCUAACGGUGUGUACUUGUCUGGCCGGGCCU
rnacentral:rRNA from 1 species